CCUACGGGAGGCAGCAGUGGGGAAUAUUGCACAAUGGGGGAAACCCUGAUGCAGCGACGCCGCGUGGGUGAAGAAGGAUUUCGGUAUGUAAAGCUCUAUCAGCAGGGAAGAAAAUGACGGUACCUGAUUAAUAAGCCCCGGCUAACUACGUGCCAGCAGCCGCGGUAAUACGUAGGGGGCAAGCGUUAUCCGGAUUUACUGGGUGUAAAGGGAGCGUAGACGGGAGUGCAAGUCUGGAGUGAAAUGCCGGGGCUUAACCCCGGAACUGCUUUGGAAACUAUGCAGCUAGAGUGUAGGAGAGGUAGGUGGAAUUCCUAGUGUAGCGGUGAAAUGCGUAGAUAUUAGGAGGAAUACUCGUGGCGAAGGCGGCCUACUGGACUGUAACUGACGUUGAGGCUCGAAAGCGUGGGGAGCAAACAGGAUUAGAUACCCCAGUAGUC
rnacentral:rRNA from 1 species